GACAGAGGGGGCAAGCGUUGCUCGGAAUCACUGGGCGUAAAGAGCGCGCAGGCGGUCGGAUCAGUCGAAUGUGAAAGCCCCCCGGCUCAACUGGGGAGGGUCAUUCGAUACUGUCCGACUCGAAGGCAGGAGAGGGAAGCGGAAUUCCCGGUGUAGUGGUGAAAUGCGUAGAUAUCGGGAGGAACACCGGUGGCGAAGGCGGCUUCCUGGACCGACACUGACGCUGAGGCGCGAAAGCUAGGGAGCAAACGGG
rnacentral:rRNA from 1 species